rnacentral:piRNA from 1 species
UUUGGGAGUAAAGUUGGUAAGC